AUGACUAUGUUGUGUGCAAUCCUGCAACUAAGGAGUGGACUGCGCUGCCUCCUAUACAAUUUUUGGUUCAAGGCAUCGUCAAUGUCGGACCACUCAUUUACUUGGGCUUCGAUGCGGCUGUUCCGUCCCGCUUUGUGGCGUUUGCCCUGUCUGCACCCGAUGCACCACACCACACAAAAGUGUCUAUCUACUCAUCAGAAACUGGACGGUAGACUUCUGUUCAGUGUAAGUGGGCCCCUGGAACUACUGUUAAUAGACAUGCAGGGCAUGUGUUCCUGA
rnacentral:rRNA from 1 species